ensembl:lncRNA
UAAAUGCCCUGUGAAGACCAGCAGGUAGGAUGACAGGGGAGGGGAGGUUGAAGAUGGAGGUUUGCUUUAGACAGGGGGCCUCCUCCCAAAGGAGAUGAUAUUUGAGCUGAAACCUGAAUGGUGAGAAGACACUAGUCAUGGUGGAUGGCAGCCAUCUAAAUGCUCCAUUUUCUCUGAAGCUCUGUUGAAGGCCCAGAUGGAAGUAAUCACUCCUUUCUCGAUGUUCUCAUGUUCUACUUAUGUGAAGAAAAAUUAUUGUAAACUACCAAAAAAGAUCUUCUAGAAAAUCUCUAAGUAGAAGGGCUGCUUUCCCAAGUUUGGUUGGUUUUAGAGGAUUAAAAAAAAAAAAGAUUGAUGACUUCCCUGGUGGUCCAAUAGUUAGGAAUCCACCUGCCUGUGCAGGGGACAUGAAUUCGAUCUCUGGUCUGGGAAGGUUCCACAUGCUGCGGGGCAACUAAGCCCACGUGGUGCAAAUACUGAAGCCUGUGCGCCUGGAGCCUGUGCUCCACAACAAGGAAAGCCGCUGCAGUGAGAAGCCUGUGCCCUGCAACGAAGUGUAGCCCCCACUGGCUGCAACUAGAGAAAGUCUGUCCAUACACAAAGACCCAGUGCAGAC